rnacentral:rRNA from 1 species
GACGAACGCUGGCGGCGUGCUUAACACAUGCAAGUCGAACGAGACGAUUUAGAAGCUUGCUUUUAUUGAGUCGAGUGGCAAACGGGUGAGUAACGCGUAGACAACCUGCCGCAAAGAUGGGGACAACAGUCCGAAAGGGGUGCUAAUACCGAAUGUUGUGCAAUCUCCACAUGGAGGAUGCACCAAAGGUGGUUUCGGCCACGCUGAGAGAUGGGUCUGCGUCUGAUUAGCUUGUUGGCGGGUAACGGCCCACCAAGGCGACGAUCAGUAGCCGGUCUGAGAGGAUGAACGGCCACAUUGGAACUGAGACACGGUCCAGACUCCUACGGGAGGCAGCAGUGGGGAAUCUUCCGCAAAUGGGCGCAAGCCUGACGGAGCAACGCCGCGUGAGUGAAGAAGGGUUUCGGCUCGUAAAGCUCUGUUGAAGGGGACGAACGGUAGGCAUAGG